rnacentral:rRNA from 1 species
UACGGAGGGGGCCAGCGUUGUUCGGAAUUACUGGGCGUAAAGGGCGCGUAGGCGGCCACCGCAAGUCAAUUGUGAAAUCUCCGGGCUUAACUCGGAAAGGUCAACUGAUACUGCGGGGCUAGAGUGCGGAAGGGGCAACUGGAAUUCUCGGUGUAGCGGUGAAAUGCGUAGAUAUCGAGAGGAACACCUGCGGCGAAGGCGGGUUGCUGGGCUGAUACUGACGCUGAGGCGCGAAAGCCAGGGGAGCGAACGGG